rnacentral:rRNA from 1 species
UACGUAGGGAGCGAGCGUUAUCCGGAUUUAUUGGGCGUAAAGCGUGCGUAGGCGGCUUAUUAAGUUUAAGAUAAAAGGCUGGGGCUCAACUCCAGUUCGUCUUAAAAACUGGUAGACUUGAGUAUGGUAGAGGUAAAUGGAAUUUCUAGUGUAGCGGUGAAAUGCGUAGAUAUUAGAAGGAACACCAGUGGCGAAGGUGAUUUACUGGGCCAAAACUGACGCUGAGGUACGAAAGCGUGGGGAGCAAAUA